rnacentral:snoRNA from 1 species
UCAUGGCCCUAUCGAAGCUGUGUCUGCCUCAUGUGGCUGAUGUAGUCAAAAAGGUGCCAAAAGUAACAUUUUUUCCUUGACGGUCGCUGUUCAGUUUCUACCCUUAUAACUGCCCAGCAACACUUUCAGGAAAAUACAUAU